rnacentral:rRNA from 1 species
CAGCCGCCGCGGUAAUACGUAGGGUGCAAGCGUUAAUCGGAAUUACUGGGCGUAAAGCGUGCGCAGGCGGUUCGCUAAGACAGAUGUGAAAUCCCCGGGCUUAACCUGGGAACUGCAUUUGUGACUGGCGGGCUAGAGUAUGGCAGAGGGGGGUAGAAUUCCACGUGUAGCAGUGAAAUGCGUAGAGAUGUGGAGGAAUACCGAUGGCGAAGGCAGCCCCCUGGGCCAAUACUGACGCUCAUGCGCGAAAGCGUGGGGAGCAAACAGGAUUAGAUACCCCUGUAGUCCCUGUCUCUUAUAA